AUUCCUGUAAUCAGCCAAAACACUCUAGGGUC
rnacentral:piRNA from 1 species